rnacentral:rRNA from 1 species
UACAGAGGUGGCAAGCGUUGUUCGGAAUUACUGGGCGUAAAGGGCGCGUAGGCGGCUUUUUAAGUCAGACGUGAAAUCCCCCCGGCUUAACCUGGGAACUGCGUCUGAUACUGGGAAGCUUGAGUUCGGGAGAGGGAUGUAGAAUUCCAGGUGUAGCGGUGAAAUGCGUAGAUAUCUGGAGGAAUACCGGUGGCGAAGGCGGCAUCCUGGACCGAAGCUGACGCUGAGGCGCGAAAGCUAGGGGAGCAAACGGG